UGCAGUCGAACGGCAGCACGGGAGCUUGCUCCUGGUGGCGAGUGGCGAACGGGUGAGUAAUGCGUCGGAACGUACCGAGUAAUGGGGGAUAACGCAGCGAAAGUUGUGCUAAUACCGCAUACGCCCUGAGGGGGAAAGCGGGGGAUCGUAAGACCUCGCGUUAUUCGAGCGGCCGACGUCUGAUUAGCUAGUUGGUGGGGUAAAGGCCUACCAAGGCGACGAUCAGUAGCGGGUCUGAGAGGAUGAUCCGCCACACUGGGACUGAGACACGGCCCAGACUCCUACGGGAGGCAGCAGUGGGGAAUUUUGGACAAUGGGGGCAACCCUGAUCCAGCCAUUCCGCGUGAGUGAAGAAGGCCUUCGGGUUGUAAAGCUCUUUCAGCUGGAGUGAAACGGUGAGCUCUAACAUAGCUUGCUAAUGACGGUACCAGCAGAAGAAGCACCGGCUAACUACGUGCCAGCAGCCGCGGUAAUACGUAGGGUGCGAGCGUUAAUCGGAAUUACUGGGCGUAAAGCGUGCGCAGGCGGAUUGUUAAGCAAGACGUGAAAUCCCCGGGCUUAACCUGGGAAUGGCGUUUUGAACUGGCAGUCUAGAGUGCGUCAGAG
rnacentral:rRNA from 1 species